GUGCCCUCACCUUAGAUGAGGACUGCCAUGGAGCCCAUCUCACAAGGCUGCCAUGGGACCAAAGAUGACACUGCAGGAAGGUGCCAGGCCCAUGCCAGGUGCUGCAACCCGUGUGCCCCAAGGCCAGCCCCAGUGCACCUGCUCAGCCACCCCCAGGACCCCUGCCUAGGGCACUCAGGCUCCGCGGGGGUCACUAAUCAGACCAGGGCUGGGAUGCCCCUGUCUGCACGGUUGCACACGGCACACAUGCACACACACACUACACACAGACCACACUACACACUACCCACCACACACUACACACACACCACACUACACACUACACACCACACACUACACACACACCACACUACACAGUACACACCACACCACACACUACACACACACCACACUACACACUACACACCACACAUACUACACACCACGCACUACACACAUACCACACUACACACUACACACCACACACUACACACAUACCACACUACACAGUACACACCACACACUACACACACCACACUACACACUACACACCACACACACUACACACCACACACACCACACACUACACACGCACCACACUACACACUACACACCACACACUACACAUACACCACACUACACACUGCAGACACACCACACUACACACUACACACAACUACAUACACACACCACACAGUACAUACCACAUACCACACCCUACACACAAACACACACUACACACUACAUGCUAUGCACACACACCACUCACUGCACAGACUACACACUAGAAACAUCACACACUACACACCACACCACACACCACACACUCCACACCACACACCACACACUGCAGACACCACACACACCACACAGCAGACACCGCCCACACCACACACACACUCCACACACACACUCCACACACCCUCCUACCCCCGACACACUCACAGUGCCCCUGUUGGACCUGUGCUCACUGUGAACCCUGA
rnacentral:lncRNA from 1 species